rnacentral:rRNA from 1 species
UACGAGAGGCCCAAACGUUAUUCGGAAUUACUGGGCUUAAAGAGUUCGUAGGCGGCGCAGAAAGUAGGGUGUGAAAGCCCUCGGCUCAACCGAGGAAUUGCGCUCUAAACUACUGUGCUUGAGGAAGCUAGAGGUGAGCGGAACUGAUGGUGGAGCGGUGAAAUGCGUAGAUAUCCGGAGGAACACCAGUGGCGAAAGCGGCCACCUGGACUGCACCUGACGCUGACACGCGAAAGCUAGGGGAGCGAACGGG